AUACGGAGGGUGCGAGCGUUAAUCGGAAUUACUGGGCUUAAAGGGCGUGUAGGCGGCUAGAUCAGUCGGGUGUGAAAGCCCUCGGCUUAACCGAGGAAUUGCAUUCGAUACUGUCUAGCUAGAGUGCGUGAGGGGAGAGUGGAACUCUAGGUGUAGCGGUGAAAUGCGUAGAUAUCUAGGGGAACGCCGGUGGCGAAAGCGACUCUCUGGCCCGCAACUGACGCUGAGGCGCGAAAGCUAGGGGAGCAAACAGAAUUAGAAACCCCGGUAGUCC
rnacentral:rRNA from 1 species